UUCAGUGUCGACAGAUUUUUGCAAGCCGAUAACACACAGCACACGAGGUGCUGCCGGCAAAUCUGUUUUUGUGAUCUCACUGACUUCAGAAGACUCAGCUGAGGAUUAUGUAGCCUUGUAAGAUAAAGAAUGCAGGCCGUAAACCUUGCUCCUGCCUGGCCAGGGCAGUGUUUACAGAUGUGGAGGCUGGCGCUGGCUGAUUCACCAAGCGUGGUGUGGAAUUCACUGCCCAUUCUCAGUACCUGAAUGUUCAACAAAACCUCAUCUGUCACUCGAGCCAGGGCUGAUUUUACAUCGUCAAUGGUGAAGCCGACUAAAGGAUCCACCUCUGCAGCCUCACUCUCUGUCUGGGGCUCCAGCGGGCUUUCCUCUUGAUCCAGCGCCUAAGACAUUGGAAAUAAACACAGGCCGAUAUUGAACGUAAAUCACAUUCCAGCGAGCACUUGAGUGCUCAGGGCCCAAUAGGCAACCUCACUUCUACCCUGUACCACUCUACCAGGAGCAAUAGUGAACUGGAAGGAGAGUUUGAUUUUGUUUCCACAUAUCGCGAGAUUACAAGAGACUUUGGGGACUGAGAAGGUGGAGCCUGGGAUGGGGUGGAGGAGGCCAAAAAUACUGACCACCAUCAGCCGGCCUGUGUGUGAUUCAACACUGAAGAGAAUAUUUCUGUUGGCCAGGAAAAAGUCAGAGGUGAAGACAACGGGAGGACAUGGGGUUCUUUGCGUUUUGUGCCCGUAUAAUGCUUACUUAGCAGGGUGAGGGAAAGCAACACCAAGCCUACCUUCCGUUCAGUCUCUGGUGUUGGCGAUGGCUCUAUGAAGGCUGAAAAUAUGUCCAAGGAGAUCCCUUCCUCCAGUGGGGCUGGAAAAGGGUGGUCUGCGGGCUUGCCAACUUCGAUGGUUUGCUGGAAAAGAAGAGAUUGGGUUGAGGGGCACCAUCGCAGCCAGCUCCUCACAGGACCGGCGUACUUCCAAACCUGGCAAGAUGGAGGCGAAUGAUGCUUUGGUGGCCUCUGAAGUCUUGCAGGAGAAAUGAAGAAGCUCUCAUGAGAAUCCGAUGACGGAAGAAAAGGGGGUGUUAGCUUGGAGGCACGGACGUUAAUACACGAUGCCUCUGAAGGAUGUCAAUGCUCUAUGGAGUUACAUAAAAUGAAGAUAUGUUGGCAGGACCCUGAGACUUCAGAAUGAUGGAGUCUGCUCCCCAGUGAGGGACGUACAGGUCUGGAGACACCUGAAGGGGCUUUCUGGUUUUCACUCUUAUGUGAACGUGGUGGAGAGAUCUGCCAUUGCCUGGUGACACAUGACACCGCUUUGUAGCUCUGACAGGACAACUGUGCUACUGUCCACAUGUUCAUAUUCAGGAGAAAGACUUUUAUUGCCAAACAUCUGACAAUUGACAUGCCAAGUAUUAAAGACAAGCACAUAAACACAGAUCUGCAGAAGUGUCAAAUAAAUAAUAAAUAGCCCUACCUUGAGGAAGCCUAUCAUCUAAUUGAAGGCAAUGAGUCAAAGAUCAUGCUUUGUUAUUUAUUUAUUGAUUCUGAACUCCAUCUUGACAUCUGAUUAUGGGAAACCAAGCUGGCGACAUGGAAUAUUGGUUGAAUUUUGUCAGCAAGAGGAUUUGCCAUCAAUAUUCAGAGAAAUAGACUUCUUCAAAUCCUGAAGUUACUUCCUGUUUUCUGAACAGCUGGAUACCAACUUGACUGUGACAUCUUAGAGACAAAUCGCUUUUAGAAUUUGCUUGAUAUUUUCCUACAAAUGUAUUGCAUUUAAAGAUGCUAUUUAAAAUUCUUAACCCAUUAGAUUCCCCCCUGCACACUCCCUCCUCACUUCCUCCUUUUCCCUUCCACUUCCUCCUUUUCUCUUCCUAUUUCUACCCUCUUCUUUUGGGUUGUGGAUCCUUUUAUGAUGGGUGCUUUGCCACUGAAGCCCAGUAUCUUUACUAGGCUAGACUAUGUCCUGCAGUUUGUCAUUCUUUGCUCAUUUCCAGAAUGAUCAUUCCCUUUGUUCCAUAAAGGUUGUCUUCAGGCACUUUGGAAAUAGUAUUUCAAUGUUUGGAUGGCUUGUUGCCAAUCCUUUCUUCCCAGUGUUUGGGACUUCUGCGUGCUAUAUCUCCAUCAAAAACCUGGGACCUUUGUCUGUCUUUUCCUUCUCAUUCAUUGUGUGGUUUUCUGGAACUUGUUCUGCACAUCACAGGUUGAUUUUCCCGUACUGCUGCUUUAAAUUCUUUAUCAUCUCAGAUAUUUUGAAACCUUUUAAUGUCACUGCCUAGCCCUUUUGGUGACAUCAUUUCUCUUUCCACUACAUUUUAUUUCUAUGUCAUAGAUAUUCCCCUUAAUUUAUUUGGGUAUUCAAAACACAUAUAGGUUAAAAUCUUCCUUUAGAAUAAAUCUUCAUCAAUUUCGACUGUGUCUAUUCAUUCUUCCCCUCCCUUCUUCUUCCCUUUCUCUCCCCCUCUCUCCACCUCUCCCUCCUCUUCCUUUGUUACUUUCUCUCUUCUUAUCUCCACCUUACUUUUAUCUUUUAUUUCCUUCCUUAUUUCCUUCUUCCAAGCUUUGGUUCUGCUAUCACAUCUAAUUUAAAAACCACUACUUAGUUUUUAAUGAAGUGACCUCCUAAAUUCUAUAUGAAGAAACACAGGGCCAUGCCAUGAAAUAGAACUAAUUCUUUAGCCUCUAACUUUUGGAGUUUCGAAAGGUUUUGAGAAAGUGGUAGAAGAAAGGCUUGCCUAUCUAAGUUACUGUGUUCUUGAAGUGUGACUGCUCUCAAUGGAAAGACCAGGCCCCAAACAGCAAGCGCUCUUUAGAGAAGCCACACCCAACUGCCUGUCAGUCUUGUCACCAGGAGUGGGAGGAGCUAAAAACGUUCUCCAGUUCAUCCAGGAAAGGCACUGCUUGGAUUUUCUGUUGUGUCCCUUGCGGCCCUGCUAUAAAGAUGAAUACUUUGCAUUGGUAUGGAUUGUGGUCUACUGAUACAAAUUUAAUGUCAGUUUUGUUAUAUGUAUAUUGCUGCUCUUCAGGUGUUGUUUUUGUAUAGCUCAUUUAAAAAUGUAAUGUAUAAUUAAGAAAUAUAGGUUAAUAGAUAGUCAUCUAUAAUAGUUAAGCUUGUAGUCACGUUAGGUUUUCUAGAUGU